rnacentral:lncRNA from 1 species
CAAGGGAGCAUGAAUUGUUAACAUCUCCUUUAAACAAAUAGGCUAGGUUAAAAUUUUUUUACAGAGCUUUACAGUAUUACAUGUCAGUUUAUUACAGUAUUACAUGUCAACAAAAAUGGCAGAAGUAAAGAGGAGUUUCAGACUUUAUGUUGCUCCAAUUUAUGGACACCUACUCUCUUGUACUUUAUAUCUGGCCAAUAUGGUGAAACCACAUCUCUACUAAAAAUAGAAAAAUUAGCCAGGCGGUAGUAGCACGCACCUGUAAUCUCAGCUACUCUGGAGGCUGAGGCCAGAGACUUGCUUGAGCCUGAGAGGCAGAGGUUGCAGUGAGCUGAGAUCAUGCCGCUGCAACCCAGUUUGGGUG